AUACGGAGGGUGCAAACGUUGUUCGGAAUUACUGGGCGUAAAGCGCGCGUAGGCGGUUUGUUAAGUCAGAUGUGAAAGCCCAAGGCUCAACCUUGGACGUGCAUUUGAAACUGGCAGACUUGAGUACUGGAGGGGAUGGUGGAAUUCCCGGUGUAGAGGUGAAAUUCGUAGAUAUCGGGAGGAAUACCGGUGGCGAAGGCGACCAUCUGGCCAGAUACUGACGCUGAGGUGCGAAAGCAUGGGGAGCAAACAGGAUUAGAUACCCCAGUAGUCC
rnacentral:rRNA from 1 species